rnacentral:rRNA from 1 species
AUUGAACGCUGGCGGCAUGCCUUACACAUGCAAGUCGAACGGCAGCGGGGGAGAAGCUUGCUUUUCCUGCCGGCGAGUGGCGAACGGGUGAGUAAUACAUCGGAACGUGCCCUGUAGUGGGGGAUAACUAGUCGAAAGAUUAGCUAAUACCGCAUACGACCUGAGGGUGAAAGUGGGGGACCGCAAGGCCUCAUGCUAUAGGAGCGGCCGAUGUCUGAUUAGCUAGUAGGUGGGGUAAAGGCCUACCAAGGCGACGAUCAGUAGCUGGUCUGAGAGGACGAUCAGCCACACUGGGACUGAGACACGGCCCAGACGCCUACGGGAGGCAGCAGUGGGGAAUUUUGGACAACGGGCGAAAGCCUGAGUCAGCAAUGCCGCGUGUGUGAAGAAGGCCUUCGGGUUGUAAAGCACUUUUGUCCGGAAAGAAAUGGCUCUGGUUAAUACCUGGGGUCGAUGACGGUACCGGAAGAAUAAGGACCGGCUAACUACGUGCCAGCCGCCGCCGUAA